GGACCCCUAAUCGUCAUGCUGUUAAGGCACUUGGCCUUGCAAUUAGGUCACAUUUUGAGGGCCCCUACCAUCAUUAUGAGGCUGUCCCUGAGGAUGUGCAGGUCAGAUGGUGGACGGAGUUUAAGACAAGAGUUACUUGGACAGCUCAGGAUGAGUGGCAAAUUAAAAAAGUGUAUGAAACAAAAGUUAAAAAACGCCUUUCUGAUAUGCUCACCAAAGCUAGGGAUAAGAGGAAGAGACCUCAUUGGAUAGGUGAACAGGCGUGGGUUGAUCUUUUAAUAUAUUGGGUGACUGAUAAGAAGUUCAAGGAUCAGUCUGCUCAAAAUAAAAUUAACCGGACUUCUAGUCGUGGUGGAGCAGUGCACACUACAGGACGCAAGUAUCACCUUGACAUUGCAGUAGGCCUAGUAAGUAUCAUUCAUGAGUUAUGUAAAUUCUCCCAUAUAUUAUGCCAUUAUCAAAUGGAAAGUAUUUAGGGGUGUCCAAAAAAUUAUUUUGAUCUGUGAACUACUUUAAUACCAAAAUGAAUUAAACUAUUAAAAACUGAAUUAUUUUAUAAAAAACUAAACCUAAACUGUUUUAAGUUUUAUUAAUCAAACUGCUAUUAAACAUAGUUCAGUGCACUAGAACUAAACUGUUAAUAAUAGAAGCUUAGCUUUCAAUUAAGCAGUGCCUGUUACCAACAACACUAUAUAAUUUAUGGUGGCUCUUAAUAAGAUCUGUGAAUCUUUCAUAAAUUUCAUCAUAGAAGCUCUUGGCAAUUUAUUACUUAGACUUAAACAUUAAAUAACCGAAAUUGAUACUUGAAUAAUAAUUUAUGGUGGGGUUUGAUGCAAAUAAUUUAAAGCCAAGAUGGGAGAUGACAAAAUAACAGAAAAUAGUUGCAGAACCCAAAUUGGAAUGUGUUGCAGGAACCUUCAGCAAUGCCGUCAACAGAAAAUUUGCAGCAGAGAUCAGUUUAGCAAAAAAAAUAAAAAAUUCUUAAACAUGUAUCAGUUCUGUUCAGUUUUUUUAAUAAAGAACCAAUUCACUGAACUUGCAAUAGUUCAGUUCUGUUCAGAAUGAAAAAUAAAUGGUUCACUUUGGUUCUUAAUAACCAUGUUUUAAUUCAGUUGAGUUCAGUUCAGUUUUAACUCUUGAACCAAACUAUUAACCAUCCUCUCUAUUCUGUUUCCUUCUCUCUUCCCCUCUUUCUUUCUGUCUUUCUCUUUCCCACCUAAAUUCUAUAUCAUAAUGCUUAUAACUGUAUAAUUUUUGUAAGGAGCGUAAAUAUGGCAAACCUGUGGAUCCAGACGUGUUGUUUCCUACUAACACCUCCUCCCACUUUGAGUAAAGUGUGCUUUCAGGUACUAUGAAUUGGACCUAAUACACCUUGCUACCAGUGGUCACCCCUGAAACAGUGUAGAAGAAGAGAGAAAAGAAGAAUGAGGGGAAAGAAGGUCACCAACAUGAGACUUUUUAUGAAAAUCUUCUCUUCUCUCACGGUUUGACAAGAGUCAUCACUGCUAUGGGAGCAAUAUUCAGAAAAAGCAAAAGAAUAAAUGUUUGUUUGUGAUUUUCCUAACGAAAAGUAUUUUUUUUCUGAAAUCAUUUGAUUUUCUCAAAUGAGCAAUAUCAAAAUGGGAAAGCGGGUGUUAACAUGGAUUGAUUAUUGUAAAAACUCAGCAAAUAUACAUCCAAUUAGUUUCGCUCAAUUAAUUUCAUACCAACAAAAAUCUAGCAACAUAGCUAUGAUGUAGACCUCACCCAAUAUUUUUAACCCAAUCGCAAUCAACAUCAACAAAGGAAGAGGUAAAAAAAUGUGAGUAAAGGUAAAAAAAAAAAA